CCGUUAUUUAAUGGGUGGAGGGCGCCAAAGUUUUCAGAGGUAGAUCCUCGCUGGAGAAACUAAUGGAAAAGAUGAAACUGUGGGAGAGUGAUGGUCGUGCGAGAAUCAGACGAGGAGAUUCUGGAGGAAGGAUCGUCGUGGAGGGUGGAUCGCCGCAGUAGAAACUGAUGAAAUCAAUUUUGGAAAUUCGGCGUCGGAAAAAAAAAAAAAAAAAAAAAGAUGGCAAAGAUUUCAUGAACCGACGGGGACUCGUCUGGAGGCAGCGGCGCAGGAAGAAGGCAGACAAACCCGAAAGAAUCCAAAAGAAGGUUGGAGCCCCACAUCGGUAAGGUAAUUUGUAACAACAUUAGUUCGACACCUUACCUCAUUCUAUACAUAUGAUAAUUGGGAUAUUUCUGGCAGAUAAAUGGCAAUCUAUGAUAUUUUUGUUAACGAUACCACUGAUUCUUGAACAUUAAACGGUGAUUCAUGGAACUUUCCUUCUUCUUUUACAAAAAGAUAAUCUUUUAUGUCACUCUAUCCGUUUUAGAUCUCAAUAAAUCUUGCAAUAAAGUCUUUUAAGAAUGUCUAUUUUCUUGGAUGAUGAACUUGUGAAUGAAAUUCGGCAAAUCCAGGUCUCAGAUAAUAUGUGUUGAUCAGAAUUCAAAUCAUGAUUUAUUUAUUUUUUACUUUAAUUGCACACUGUGUACGAGAGAACAGUGCAAGAAACAUUUUUGCAUUUUCUUUUACGUCAUCUAUAUUUAGUUAUAUGAAAUUUAUUUAUAUAUAAUCUAUGUUAUAAGUUACUAGAAAGAAAAAAAAAUCAAAACCUUUUCUGGAGUUGUCAAAUUCUUCUCUCGUAAUUAGUGUGCAAUCAAGAUAAAAAUAAAUAAGUUAUAAUUUGGAUUUAUAUCACGAAUUCGGUGGAACAUAUUAUCUAAGAGCUGGACUUGUUGAAUUUUGUCCACAACUUUAUUCUCUAAAAAAAUAGACAUUUUGAAAAAGUCUCUUACUAUAUUGAUUGAGGUUCGAAAUGAAUCUAGUGGCACAAAAAGAUCAUCUCCCUCUAAAAGAAUAAAGGAAGUUCCAUGAAUCAUCCUUUUGUGUUCAAAAAUCAAUGGUAUUGUUAACAAAAAUGAUUAUGAAUUGCAAUUUACCUGCUAGAAAUGUUCCAAUUAUCAUGUGUAUGCAACAAUAAGAUAAGGUGUCGAAUUCAUCUUGUUAUAAAUUUCCUUACCAAUGUCAUUCUUGUCGGUGUCAUUUGUGUUUAUAUCAUGCAACUUUUGAGGGUUACUGAAUGAGUAAAUUUGUGAAAUAAUGAGUUUUUUUUUUUCACUUGA